UAUAGCCAUUUCGCAGUAGUAUAGCACAGAAAGUAAUCUAGUAGUGAAUAAAUACCGAAAAUAACAUAGCACCUUUUUCCUUACUUAACUCUAAUCUGUCUUUUGUUAUGCAUGUAUUACUGAGGCACAGUUACAAUGUAGACUUUUUACUCACGAUUUUGUAUAUUUGUGUUCUUAUCUGGCAAGGUUUAACUCAUUGGGUUUUCAACCCAAGGUUGGGACCUUUAUUGUCUGGGAGAUGAUGCCUAAUACUUUCUCAUACAGAAGAAAAGAAGUGGUGCAUGGAAGUCCGUGUGCUGGAGAGUUUAAAGUGAGGUGGCCUGCACUUUUCUAUGUUGAUGAGAUAAAUGCUGAGUUUCGGCGAAUUAUAACACAUCCGCUGGAGAUGACCUUCAUGGCACAGUUGGACAGUCUUCAGCCUCAGCUGAAGAAGGGAGGUGUCACAGGCCAGAAACCAGCCAAACAUCUGCACAUCUGACAAGAGUAACAGCCUGGAUUAUUACUGUAAGACACUUUUCCACAUAAAGGAUGAUGAAAUGUUAUAGAAGCAAAAUCAUCCCUAUUUUCUCAGG